rnacentral:rRNA from 1 species
GUCCACGCCCUAAACGAUGCAUAUUUGGUGUGGGCAGUUCAUUCUGUCCGUGCCGGAGCUAACGCGUUAAAUAUGCCGCCUGGGGAGUACAGUCGCAAGGCUGAAACUCAAAGGAAUUGACGGGGGCCCCGCACAAGCGGUGGAGCAUGUGGUUCAAUUCGACGCAACGCGAAGAACCUUACCUGGGCUCGAACGGCUGGUCAACGGAGGUGGAAACACUUUUACCCCGCAAGGGGGUCCAGUCGAGGUGCUGCAUGGCUGUCGU